GAGGGUAUAGCUCAGUGGCAGAGCACAUGAUUAACAUGCACAAGGUCCUGGGUUCAAUCCCCAGUACUACCA
rnacentral:tRNA from 1 species